UUAAUGCAUGGCUAAUUAUUAGGUGCACCAGAAGCACUAAAAAAUAGUACUUCCUCUUUCAAAUAAAGUGAAUCCUUCCUAUUAUAUAGAAAAUGAAUUCUACAUUAUUACGAGAGAAAAUAUAUAUAUACCAAAUGUACCUAGUAAUUCAUCUAAAUGCAUUUACUUCGGAAGCCAUGUUUGGCUGCCCUCUCCAACGUCGACAAAUCAUGUUGGAUUUGAAUAGAAAAUUUUUCUCCCUUAAGGUUGAUUGAGGUAACUAGCUGCUUCGUGGAAGCGCGACAAUUGUAUCCUCAAAUCCCCAAUCCAUCUUCCAGAAAUAGUGUGGAUGAGGAUAACGUCUCUCUCUGCCUCUUUCCUCGAGUAUUCCCUCAUCAGAUUUAUUAAUUUUAAUCUCUAACAGUCAACAAAAUACAUUUAUAAAUAAUAAUAAUUGAGCAGGAUUCUUACCAGGCCGAAUCCCACAAUUCACUAUGUCUUGGUUUUUUGAGUCGCCGGCUGAGGAACAGGAGGAAUUUAGCUCGUCAACGUCUUCAACGACGUCGGCUAUUGGAAAGAACAGUGAUCUGUGGGGGAGUGAAUCAUCAGACUCAGACAGCGAGGAUUGCAAGGAAGAGAACGAAGUACAGAGCGCGUACAAGGGUAAACUCGAUAACAUUGAUGCCUUAGAAGACGCUUUGCCUAUCAGGUAAUCUAUUUUUCCCCCUUUUUCUACUUAUUAGAAGAAGACUGCUCUCUACGCUUCUUAAGUUGUGAUGUAUGUGAUGCAUUCCAGGAGAGGCAUAUCAGAGUUCUAUAAUGGAAGAUCGAAGUCCUUCCAAUGUCUGGCUACAGCUUCCUUAUUUUCCUCCAUUAAAGACAUUGCAAAACCAGAAAAUGCAUACACCAGGGAACGUAGAAACAGAGUUGCACAUAAUGUCUGGGACAAGAAUAGAAGUAGUUAUCCUCGCCUAAGUGAUAGGUGUGGGAUAUCAAAGAGGCCAAUUAGCUCCAGCCGAAGACCAAUGCCUCAAAGCAGAUCCUCAAGCAUCAGCAGCACAAAUUCAAAUUCCAGCUUCAAUUCAAAAUCGCCUCCAAAUCUGCACCUGCGAUCCAGUUCAUCUCAUAAUAAUCUAGCUGUAUUCUCAUCUCCACAACCUUCCCGAAAAUCAUUCUCCUUGCCUGAUUUACAACGCCAUUUCAUGCUUGAUCAAAUCGAUCAUUAGAUCAAAAUUUUCAUUUUUUCAAUUAGAUAAGUAAUACAUCAAUUUCAAAUUGAGUCCUGUACGUUUGUUUUCUUUUCAGUUUAGGACAAGCUCUAAAAAUUCG
rnacentral:misc_RNA from 1 species